CCUACGGGAGGCAGCAGUGGGGAAUUUUGGACAAUGGGCGCAAGCCUGAUCCAGCAAUGCCGCGUGCAGGAUGAAGGCCUUCGGGUUGUAAACUGCUUUUGUACGGAACGAAACGGUGAGCUCUAAUACAGUUUGCUAAUGACGGUACCGUAAGAAUAAGCACCGGCUAACUACGUGCCAGCAGCCGCGGUAAUACGUAGGGUGCGAGCGUUAAUCGGAAUUACUGGGCGUAAAGCGUGCGCAGGCGGUGAUGUAAGACAGAUGUGAAAUGCCCGGGCUCAACCUGGGACCUGCAUUUGUGACUGCAUCGCUAGAGUACGGUAGAGGGGGAUGGAAUUCCGCGUGUAGCAGUGAAAUGCGUAGAUAUGCGGAGGAACACCGAUGGCGAAGGCAAUCCCCUGGACCUGUACUGACGCUCAUGCACGAAGACGGUGGGGAGGACGAACAGGAUUAGAUACCUCGUACGUCCACCGCCUAACGAUGUCACUGGUUGGUUGGGUUCGUUCUACU
rnacentral:rRNA from 1 species